GGUGUGGUUGUUGCUGGCCCUCUCGGGGGCAUGUGCACACCCACCRUCCUCAUCUCUCCACCUGUGCACCUCUUGUAGACCUGGAUUGACUUUCCGAGGCAACUCGGUCGGGAAGAUUGCUGCGCUCUGUGAGCCAGCUUUCUUUGCAUGUCCAGGCCUAUGUUUUUCAUAUACCCCUAUAGAAUGUAACAGAAUGUAUYAUUGGGCCUUGUGCCUAUAAACCUUAUACARCUUUCAGCAACGGAUCUCUUGGCUCUCGCAUCGAUGAAGAACGCAGCGAAAUGCGAUAAGUAAUGUGAAUUGCAGAAUUCAGUGAAUCAUCGAAUCUUUGAACGCACCUUGCGCUCCUUGGUAUUCCGAGGAGCAUGCCUGUUUGAGUGUCAUUAAAUUCUCAACCUUAUUAACUUUUGUUGAUAAUGGAUUGGAUUGUGGGGGUUUCUUUUGCUGGCUUCUUCACAGAGAUCAGCUCCCCUUAAAUGCAUUAGCUGGUGCCCCGCGUGGACCAUCUAUUGGUGUGAUAAUUAUCUACGCCGUGGAUGUCUGCAAUYAUAUGGGUUUCGCACUGCUUCUAACCGUCUGUUCAUUCGGACAAUACAUGACAAUUUGACCUCAAAUCAGGUAGGACUACCCGCUGAACUUAAGCAUAUCAAUAAGCGGAGGAAAAGAAACUAACAAGGAUUCCCCUAGUAACUGCGAGUGAAGCGGGAAAAGCUCAAAUUUAAAAUCUGGCGGUCUCCGGCCGUCCGAGUUGUAAUCUAGAGAAGUGUUAUCCGCGCUGGAC
rnacentral:rRNA from 1 species